UACGUAGGGGGCAAGCGUUGUCCGGAAUUAUUGGGCGUAAAGAGCGCGUAGGCGGUCCGGUAAGUCAGCUGUGAAAGUCAAGGGCUCAACCCUUGAAAGCCGGUUGAUACUGUCGGGCUAGAGUCCGGAAGAGGCGAGUGGAAUUCCCGGUGUAGCGGUGAAAUUCGUAGAUAUUCGGAAGAACACCAGUGGCGAAGGCGGCUCACUGGACCGGUAUUGACGCUGAGGUGCGAAAGCGUGGGGAGCAAACAGG
rnacentral:rRNA from 1 species